ACGUAGGGGGCAAGCGUUGUCCGGAAUGACUGGGCGUAAAGGGCGUGUAGGCGGCCGAUUAAGUCUGGAGUGAAAGUCCUGCUUUCAAGGUGGGAAUUGCUUUGGAGACUGGUUGGCUUGAGUGCGGAAGAGGCAAGUGGAAUUCCCAGUGUAGCGGUGAAAUGCGUAGAGAUUGGGAGGAACACCAGUGGCGAAGGCGACUUGCUGGGCCGUAACUGACGCUGAGGCGCGAAAGCGUGGGGAGCGAACAG
rnacentral:rRNA from 1 species